AGAGUUUGAUCCUUGGCUCAGAUUGAACGCUGGCGGCAUGGCUAAAACAUGCAAGUCGAGGGAGAAACCCCUUCGGGGGUGGAAACCGGCGGAAGGGCGAGGAAUACAUUGGAACGUGCCCCGAGGUGGGGGAUAGCCAGGGGAAACUCUGGGUAAUACCCCACAAGCUCUUCGGAGGAAAGCUCCGGCGCCUUGGGAGCGGCCAAUGUCCUAUCAGGUUGUUGGUGAGGUAACGGCUCACCAAGCCGAAGACGGGUAGCGGGUGUGAGAGCAUGACCCGCCGCAUCGGGACUGAGACACUGCCCGGACUCCUACGGGAGGCUGCAGUAACGAAUAUUCCGCAAUGCGCGAAAGCGUGACGGAGCAAUGCCGCGUGCAGGAUGAAGCAGUUACGCCGUGUAAACUGCUGUCAGGGGACAGGAAUAUUGACCAUCCCCAAAGGAAGGGCCGGCUAACUUCGUGCCAGCAGCCGCGGUAAUACGAAGGGCCCGAGCGUUACUCGGAAUCACUGGGCUUAAAGCGUACGUAGGCGGAUUGCCAAGCAUCUUGUGAAAUCCCUCGGCUCAACCGGGGAAUUGCAGGGUGAACCACAAGUCUUGAGGCGGGUAGAGGCGAUCGGAACGUUCGGUGGAGGGGUGAAAUCCGUAGAUAUCGAACGGAACGCCAAAGGGGAAGUCAGGUCGCUGGGCCUUUCCUGACGCUGAGGCACGAAAGCGUGGGGAUCAAACAGGAUUAGAUACCCUGGUAGUCCACGCCGUAAACGAUGUGCACUAGAUCGAUGCAGAUCUGACUCUGUGUCGGUCGUAGCAAAAGUGUUAAGUGUGCCGCCUGGGGAGUACGGUCGCAAGGCUAAAACUCAAAGGAAUUGACGGGGGCUCACACAAGCGGUGGAGCAUGUUGCUUAAUUCGAGACAACGCGAAGAACCUUACCUGGGUUUGACAUGCACGGAUUAACUUUGUGAAAGCAGAGCCACACCCUUUGGGUGGAACGUGCACAGGUGCUGCAUGGCUGUCGUCAGCUCGUGCUGUGAAGUGUCGGGUUAAGUCCCUUAACGAGCGCAACCCCUAUCGUUAGUUGCUAACGCGUAAUGGUGAGAACUCUAGCGAGACUGCCGGUGUCAAACCGGAGGAAGGUGGGGAUGACGUCAAGUCCGCAUGGCCCUUAUGUCCAGGGAUGCAAACGUGCUACAAUGGUGCGUACAAAGCGAUGCGAUGUCGCGAGGCGGAGCAAAUCGCAAAAACCGUGCCCCAGUUCGGAUAGCAGGCUGCAAUUCGCCUGCUUGAAGUUGGAAUCGCUAGUAAUCGCGGAUCAGCUACGCCGCGGUGAAUGUGUUCCUGAGCCUUGUACACACCGCCCGUCAAGUCAUGGAAGCUGUUAGUGCCCGAAGUCGCUGCGUUUCAGCAGUGCCCACGGCAAGUUCGGUGACUGGGACUAAGUCGUAACAAGGUAACCGUA
rnacentral:rRNA from 1 species